CAUAUUCACUCCAAAUUGCUGCA
rnacentral:siRNA from 1 species